GGUAGUGUGGCUGAUUUAAAGCGGUAGUCUGUAAAAUUACACAUAGGGCAUUCCUUACUACCAA
rnacentral:tRNA from 1 species